GGGGGCAUAGCUCAGUGGUAGAGUGUUUGACUGCAGAUCAGGUGGUCCUUGGUUCAAAUCCAAGUGACCCCU
rnacentral:tRNA from 1 species